GACAAACAUGACAAACGUCCUCUGGGCAGGAUGCAGAGGGGAGAGGAAGGGAAACCUAGAGGGGUGUGGGUUCCCCUGCCUUCUGGGGGCAGAGGACAAAAGUCAGGUGAGGGAAAAGACUGAGCAGAGGUUUGAGGACAAGAGCUCAGAACUGUAGGUUUCCACACAUGAAAGGUGUUUAUCUCCUUUGAUCUAUUGGACCAUCAUGACAAUCCUGUAAGGAAAGCAGGAAGAGAAUCAUCUUUCCAUGUUUCAGGUCAGGAAACUGUGGCUCUGUGGGCUUAAGGGACUUAUCCAGGGUUCCACAGAUUGGACGUCAUAGAGUGGAAAUGAGAACCCAAGUCUCCUGGCUUCCAGCCUCUGCUCCCUCCACCAAGUCAUGGUGGAGACGCUCAGAAUCUCUCUAGUAGUCAUGGUCCCCUCCUCUCCUCUACCCCACACCCCAUCCAACUGGUUUUCAAGUGCUGAGAAUCCCACCUCUGAAACACCCUGCAAAGCCACAACAAAGAACCCUCAUCACCCCUCACUGCAGCAGCCUCCUAGCUGGUCACUCCACAUUCAGUAUCUUUCCAGCUGCAUCAUCAUCACCAACUGCCAGAGCUCUACCUAGAACUCAAGUGUGACCACCUCGUUCCUCUGCCUGAAACUCCUCUGAAACACACCAACACAUAAACAUGAUUUAAUUAACUCUGGAUUUGAGGCGUGCAAACCGAGGUCAAGGGCCGUAAGAGCUGUACCGCAGGUCAGUCUGCAUGUUCACGACACAACUGGGAUGAGGUUCCAGCCCAAGUGCCUGAGGCCAGAGAUCUUUCCUACUACGUCAUGUUGGCAAGAACAUUCCCCUCCGCCUUACCCUACCCCACAGCUCUAUUCCGUAUCCAACGGUGGCUCUUAACCUUGAACUGCAGAAAACAUGUAUAGAGAGAAGAGAUCAUGUGAGGACACAUGAGUAGGCAGCUGUCUAUAAACCAGAAAUCUUACCAGAAACCAUCCUUAAUAGCAUCUUGAUCUUGGACUUCUAACCACUAGAACAGUAAGAAAAUAAAUUU